AUCGUGGAUAAAGAGGAGAAUAUUGUGUUGGACUACUUGAGUGGUCAGAUGAUCAUUGAUGGAGCCUUCCAAGUCUCACUCUUGUCAAGAAUUGCACAAGGCAUUUGCGGUUGUUCUAAGGACAUUGAAUGUGUGGUAAAAGAUAGACUGAUAUAUGUAGUUCAGUCGAGGCCACAAAUCUAGCCCUAGCAACCGCAUCUUGUGUUGCAUUUGUUAUGUGCACGUUCUUGUCAGAAUGAUAGGUAUGAAAAGAAAAACAAAGAUUUUUUUUUUUUUGUCACAGAAUCAAUUUAGGCUAAAGGUUUGUUGUAACAAAAGAAAAAGCUGGUAAAAAAAAAAGUAAAUAAUAAUAAUAAAAAGCUAGUCAACUGAAGUCCUGCAUGAGUUUAUUCAUGGGAAUUACCUGGAAAAGAAAAGAUUCCAUCUCACUCUCUAGAUGAUGGAGUGAGCAUUGGAUUUUAUUCAUUUCUUAUUAGCAAUUACUUAAGGUAGAACGGGUUCUUGAGCUUCAGAGGGAGAAUCAAAUCAGAAAUGGCUUCAUCCUCUCCUUCACAGAAAGGUACGACGUGUUCUUGAACUUCAGAGGUGCAGACACACACAACUACUUCACGAGCCACUUCAACAGUAAAUUAGUUGCGUCUGGAAUCCAUACCUUCAUCGACAACAAACUAAGGAGAGGGGAAGAUUUAUCACUGUCAUUGAUCAGGGCAAUCGAAGGGUCUAGGAUCUCUCUCAUAGGCUUCUCAGCGAACUAUGCAAGUUCAACAUGGUGCCUUGAUGAGCUGGUAAAGAUCAUGGAGUGUAGAAAAACAUUGGGGCAAGCUGUUUUUCCAAUAUUCUAUCAUGUUGAUCCUUCAGAUGUCAGGUGUCAGACGGGUAGUUUUGCGAAGGCAUAUGUAAUUUAUAAAGCUGCAAAUAAAUAUCAGAGAAUGUAUCCAGGUGGAUAGCUGCAAAUUUUUCUGGCUUACAUCUUCGUACUACUGCUAAUAGGAAUGAGGGAAAGUUUCUCCAUGACAUUAUUGACCUGAUUAGCAGACAGCCGAGACCCACACAUGCUUACAUGUGGCCAACUACCCAGUUGGAAAUAGAUUUUCGCGUUGAAGAGAUUAGUAAAUCAUUAUGUGUUGGAGUAGAUGAUGAUGUUCACAUGGUUGGAAUUUGAGGUAUGGGUGGAAUGGGCAAAACAUCUGUUGCAAAAGCCAUCUACAACAAAUUUUAUCGUAGUUUUGAAGGUACAAGUUUCCUUGCAAAUGUUGGGGAAACUGCGAAGCAGUUAAAUGGUAAGAUUACUUUACAAGAGAUCAACAUUUACUGGAGCAACUUAAAGUGACCAUACAUCUGACUUGAGAAAUGAAUAAAGAAGAAGCUGAUCUUGAGCUCUUUAGUUGGCAUUAGGAAUGAGCAAACGGGGAAUUCCCCCGCCCUGAGGCAGAAUUUUUGGAACUCUCAAGAAGUGUGGUUACCUACUUUGGAGGUUUACCACUGGCUCUUGAAAUUUUAGGGUCUUUUCCCUUUGGAAGGAAGGACAUAAGAGAUUGGAAAAACACAUGGAAGAAAUUGCAAAAAAUUCCUCAUGGAAAAAUUCAGAAAAAGCUCAGAAUAAGUUUUGAUGCAAUUGGUGAGAACCAGAAGAACUUAUUCCUCGAUGUAUCUUGUUUCUUCAUUGGAAUGGACAAAAACUGUGUCAUAAAAAUACUCGAGGGCUGUGGUCUUUCUGCAAUAAUAGAUAUCAGUGUCCUCAUUCAGCGUUGCCUUGUAGUUGUUAGUGAAAACAACAAACUCACAAUGCACAAUUUGCUUCGCGACAUGGGCAGAGUUGUUCAUGAAGAAUACCCCGAAGACCCUGAAAAAUGUAGUAAAGAGUGUGGCGACAGGAAGAUGUACUAGAUAUAUUGACAGAAGAAUCUGGAGCUAAAAAGAUUAAAGCGCUUGCUCUAAAUCUGCAAAGAUCUCCGAAAAAGAGUUUCAGAACAAUAUGAGAUGGCUCUGCUGGCAUGGAUUCUAAAGUUCAUAGGAAAUGAUUUUCUUCAUCAAGGAAACCUGGUUUCUAUGGACCUGCAGUACAGCAAUCUCGUACAAGUUUGGGAGCAUCCCAGGGUGCUCGAGAAGUUGAAGAUUCUUGUUCUCAGUCAUUCACAUUACCCGACACCAUCACCAGACUUUUUAAAACUCCCAAAUCUUGAGUAUUUGAUCAUGAAAAGCUGCAAGAGUUUGUCAGAGAUGCACCAGUAUUGGCGAUGGUAAAAGACUUGCGAUGGUAAAAGACUGCAAAAUGCUCAAGGGCCUUCCAAAGGAUUUCUAUGAGUUGAGAGAUAUUGAAACUCUCUUUCUUUCUGGCUGUUCAAGAUUUGAGAAUUUUGUCAAGGACAUAAGGGAGAUGACAUCACUGAAAACUACUGUUGUAAGUGGCACAGCCAUAAGUUGAGUACCACUCUAUAUGGGAAGAUUGAAAAACCUGAACUACUCAUUGGAAAGCAGUAAUGUUCAUAACCUUCCAGAACCCAGUGGCUUUUCCCACCUUGAACGUCCAUGUUUCUGUAAUUGCACAAACCUUCCUGCAAGUGGAGAUUUACCAACUAGGUCGAAGGACUUGGAAUCAGAUCACAGUGAUCUUCCAAAUUCAAACUCUCUCUCUCUCUCUCUCUCUCUCUCUCUCUCUCUCUCUCUGACUUGGAAUCAGAUCACUGCACUGCACUUGCAAUAAUUCCAGAUUCAAACUCUCUCCCCCCUCCCCUCUCCCUCCCUCCCUCCUGCAACAGGAGACGGUGUGGGAAAUGAUUUUCCAAAGCAGUUCACGUAUUGAUAUUGUAUCUGCUUAAUAUGAUAUAAGGAUUGACUGCAACGGGAGACGGUGGGAUUUGUUUGCUGGGAAAUUACUUUCCAAAGGCAGUUCACAUAUGUCAAGUCUUUUUCCAAGUGCCUCAAACUAAUUUACAAGCUUUCACUGUCUGCGUAGUUUUUUCUUCUUGUUUUGACGAGGGCAUAUCUCCAAGUGGCAGGGGCGGAUCCAGCCCGGGCUGGGUAGGGCUCAAGCCCCACCGGGCUUUGUGGGCCCAAAAACAAAAUUAGGUAUAUAGUUUUUUUUUUUUGGACUAGUUAUCUCCUUUGAAGCCCCACCGCCGAGGCACCGAACUCAAUCCGAUCCUUGGACUCUUAUGACACGUUUGCUUACUUGGAAUGGAAAAUAAGUAUGGGAGACAACUGGAAUGGGAGAAGAAAGGAAUCGGUAUUGAUUCCGGAUGAGUUGAUUCCUAAACUCAUCUCCCUCCUUCGUAAUCAAAUUCCUGAGUAUUCAGGAAUCGAUUCCUUAAAAGGAGGUGGGAGUGUGGGACCUACACCCAUUCCGAUUCCUUCAUGUGUUAGUUAGUAAACAUAUGAAUAGUUUUACCCCGUAAUCAUUCUCUCUCAUUCCAAGUAAGUAAACGUACCCUUAGAGGCUUGGAGCACUCCCGACUCGGCAGUGAGGUUAGUGAGGAGAAGGCCUCAGAACUCAGAAGCAAAGGUAAUACUCUAAUACCGUCAUUAAAUAUUUAAAUCUUGUUAUUUUCAUAAAUGUAUUAGCAUAAUGGCAUUGCUCUCAUAAUUGUAAUUUUAGGUGUUACAUAUAUGUUAAUUGGCAUAAUGGCAUUGCUUUCAUAUAUCUAAUAUAAGUUAAUUUAUUAAUUUAUAGGUGUUACACUAAAAUGUCAAAUCAUGAGCCGAAACCGAAGCGAUAAAAAAAAAUUACUACAUGGUUUCAAAGAACUAAUAUUUCAUAUUCAUGUAAGUAACAGUAUGCUUAAGCAAUCACAAACACAUAAUUUAGAACCUAUACUAGAUCAAAUCAUGUAUAUUAAAUCUCCUUGAGUUAAAUCCAAGUAAGAAGAAAUCUCCCUGAGGAAGAUUCAAGUGAGGUGAAAUCUCCUCUAGACAGAUCUUAGAGAGGUAAUAUGCCCUUGAGAUGGAUCCGAGUGAGAAAGAAAAUCCUUAACAGAUCCCUUUGAGACAGAUCUAAUCCUCCUCAAUGAAAACUGAUUUCUGCAGAAAACUAAACAUAAGAACAUGAACACAAAAACUUACUCGAUGCUCUCCCACUGUCUAUGAUAGCCUUCUCCUGAUUUAACCUUUAUGUUCUCUUAGUAUAUGGGACUAAAAACAAGAACAACUCGUGCAUCAGAAGGACCAAUCUGACAUAUAUAUGUAUAGCAAUGCAGCAAAUCAGUUUCAUCCAUAAAGAAACUGAUUUCAUUGCUUAACUGCCUAUUUAACUGCUCUUCAACUGUAUUUCUAUUUUGAAUUCAAAAUAAUACAUAAGCUUAUCCAUAAGUCAAGAUUCAUUGACAGCUUAUACACCUAUUGUUUAAACUCUGAUCAAAUUCCAUAUUUAUAUGAAUAUAUGUACAUUUGCAUAUCAGUGUUUGAACUCUAAGCAAUGUCCAAUUCCAUAUGUAAGCCAUGUCAUAGCUUACAAUCUCCCACUGAACUUGACAUUGCCUCAAAAUCAUAUAUGACAAUCAUACAUUAUAUACAUAUAAAUUGAUCUACUAAAGUGUGGACUAUGAGUUUAAACACUUAAGUGAUUCAAAUUCAAUUGAUUAUUAAUUCUGUCAAUUAUGCUUGCUUCAAGAAACCUAAGAAUAGCAUGGUGAAUGAGGAUAACACCAAUGUUCCAAGAUCACCUUGUAACAGACUAUAAUCACAUGAAUUUCACCCAUAGCAGUAUAAGCAUACUUGUGUAAUAAAUGCAUUUAAUCACAUGUAUGCUUGAUGUCCUACCAAAAUUUCUAAAUUAAUAGAAUUGGCAACCAAAUUAUAUUUCACAUUACUUAAUAUUGUCAAUCUGCAAGAUUUGCUAUUCAUUGAUAGCCAAUUAACUGAAUUUAUACAACUUGAGUAUGCAGAAAAACAAUGAGGUGAAAUUGCAUAAAUGUAGAUGAACAUUACUGACCAAUUUACUGCAGAACAAUGAAAACCACUUUAUACCAUGAUAAGUAAGAAUGACGAACAUCCAACUAACCUUGUAUAGGACAUAUUUUCCAUGCUUUUCUUCGGUAAUGCAUUCUUGGGGUACUAAUCUUUAUGAGACUCAUCUCCCUUAGAAAUUGUUGACUCUCCUUUUGUUUCCUUCAACAAACAGAUAUUGCUGCUAGAAGAUAACAUAUGAUCAUCAACAUAUAGGAUCAGAAAAAUAAAGUUUCUCCCACUGGUCGUAGUGAUCAUCUUCUACAAAACCUUCAAGCUGCAGCAUUUAAAUUUCUGCAUUUUUCAUUAUUCAUAGACUAGAUUGCUUCUAUAACUGAAAUAAGAUAAUUCUUUUCUUCUAAAUCAGCCACCAUGCCGAUCAGAUACAUGUAAUUAUCAUUUGAUGUGGCUGGUUUUCUUGCUCUUAAGGAUUUUCUCAAGAUUAUAGCUUGUGAUGCUUCUGCAAUUUCUAUGGUUUAUAUUGACACUGUACCACCUGCAAUCUACUCAUUUUGUACAUUUGUGCCAGUAAUGACAUUAUCCAUAAUUGAAUCACGUUGUGCUGCACACUUGGAUUUGUCUCCUUUGUCUAGGAUUGAUAUAUUGCUGCAAUUCUAAUCUGAAACUGAUAUAUUGCUGUCUUGAUAGAUAAAUCACUUAUCCAUUUCAUUAGCUACUUGCCUACUUGUGAUGAGUCUGCAUCUAUUUCUGAACCACCUGCUGCUAUAUUUCUAGAAUCAGCCAUUCCAUAAACAUGUAUAGUCCCAAUCUCCUCUCCUGUAACAUACUCCUAAUCUCAUUAAGCAUACUUCUUGC